rnacentral:rRNA from 1 species
AGAGUUUGAUCCUGGCUCAGAGCGAACGCUGGCGGCAGGCCUAACACAUGCAAGUCGAGCGCCGUAGCAAUACGGAGCGGCAGACGGGAGAGUAACACGUGGGAACGUGCCCUUCAGUUCGGAACAACCCAGGGAAACUUGGGCUAAUACCGGAUACGUCCGAAAGGAGAAAGAUUUAUCGCUGAAGGAUCGGCCCGCGUCUGAUUAGCUAGUUGGUGAGGUAACGGCUCACCAAGGCGACGAUCAGUAGCUGGUCUGAGAGGAUGACCAGCCUCACUGGGACUGAGACACGGCCCAGACUCCUACGGGAGGCAGCAGUGGGGAAUAUUGGACAAUGGGCGCAAGCCUGAUCCAGCAAUGCCGCGUGAGUGAGGAAGGCCUUAGGGUUGUAAAGCUCUUUCACCCGCGACGAUGAUGACGGUAGCGGGAGAAGAAGCCCCGGCUAACUUCGUGCCAGCAGCCGCGGUAAUA